rnacentral:rRNA from 1 species
UACGUAGGGUGCGAGCGUUUGUCCGGAAUUACUGGGCGUAAAGAGCUCGUAGGUGGUUUGUCGCGUUGUCCGUGAAAACUCACAACUCAAUUGUGGGCGUGCGGGCGAUACGGGCAGACUGGAGUACUGCAGGGGAGACUGGAAUUCCUGGUGUAGCGGUGAAAUGCGCAGAUAUCAGGAGGAACACCGGUGGCGAAGGCGGAUCUCUGGGCCUUACCUGACGCUGAGGCGCGAAAGCUAGGGGAGCGAACAGG